UUAUUUGCAGAAAAAUAAACAAAUAAAUGAAAAAAUUGUCAUGAUAUCCAAGACUUUUGGGAAAACAUUCUGUGGAUGGACGAGACAAAGUGGUAGUUUGAUGAUCUGGGGUUGCUCGUCAGUGCUUCUCAAACUGUGGUCCACAGACGCCCCCCAGUGGUCCGCAAGGUACUGCAUGUUAAAAACCUUUUAUUUGCCAUGACAUGAGCUCACAGUGCAACACAUACAGCUACGUAGCUUACUACCAGACCGUGUUUAAAAAUAAUAAUAUAUAAGUGGCUCUGGGCCGCUUCAUUCAAAAGAAAAGCUGAAGACACUGGUGGAAAGAAAACAACGCCAAGG